GGUAUUGAAUAAUUCUGAAGCAUUCUGUUAAUAUUGGGAUAUUGGCUCUAGUUCUGCAAUGAAAUAGUGGAUGAGAAACGAAAGUGAUGUAGACUUUUACAAUGAAAAUCUAUAAAUACAAGCCUGUGUCUUCAUCAAGUAAAAAAUUAAAAUGAGUUAUUUUUAAGACACUUGGUAUUUUAUUUUUUGUUACUUUUGUUACUUUGUUACUUUCCUAGGAAAGGCAAAUCUCAUUACAUUUGAGAGAUCAAUUCUAAAGCUUCUCCACAUAUUUUAGGAAAGCAAACAAUCGCUCUAUUUUGCUUUUCAUUUCCAAUCUCUUUUCAAGCUCUCUUUCAAAAACAAAUUUAGAUGAACCCAAUUACUUCCUAUAUACAUCCAGUUAUCGAUUCUUUGUACCACUGUAGCUGAACAUUGCUAGAGAAAAUUUCAGGUUACUCACCUGUUGGUUCCUCAAACAUGCCUGACCUAGAAGAACUGCACAUGUUGUUGCUCCAUCUAACUUCAACUCUCACCUGCCUAACUCAUACUAUUCUCUGGUUAUAGCUCUAUGUUACCUCUGGAGAGUUUGACACCCAAUAUAAGAGUAAGAAGCCCUAGUACUUCCAAGUAAAGAGUUUGAAAACAACCAUCUUACGCCAUGCUGCUUUCCAGUGGAAAAGACCAUAUCACUCCCUUGCUUCAAAUCCAUCUGCAGAGUUGCUUCUUCCAGGAAGCCAAUCAUGAGCCUCCUAGGCCUUGACAAUGAAAAAGACAAGGGUUGGAGUGCUCCUCAAUCUACUGAACUGAUGCUAAUUAAAAUUACCUCCAAUAAUGCAAAAUUUUAAAACUAGACAUUCUCUCAAAAAUUUAGGGCAUUAGAAAACUAUUUUGUUAACUUAUUUUUACCACUAGACCAUGGUGUAUGCCUGCAAUCAUAACUACGCAGGAGGCUGAGGCCAGGGAUAACGUGAAAUCAAGAAUUUUGAAUUUUCCAAAGACUGAAUUUGCACAUACAGUUCUACAUUAUUAUAUUCCUUGCCUACUACUUUGCCUAGGGAGAGUUAAACUAACCAGUUAAAAAAUGGAGAUGCUAAAUACCGUUACUGCAAUACUACGUGAAAAAGAAUUAAAAAUACAAUUAAUUCCUUCUUCAUUCACUAGGUUCAAUCCAAGUGAAAGGAGACUUGUAGGAAAGGAUAAAAAAUACAAGGAUUAUCAAAAGUAGACUCUUUCCAGUUACUCUGCUUAGCUCCUUGAAUUGAAACAAAACAAAUACAAAAAAAGACAAAAUAUCAAUCUACUGCCUAUUCAUUUAUG